AAUUUGCAAGGAUCUUGUCAGUCAAAUCAAGCAAGCAGAAGCUGCUGCAACUAGCUACUCCCGAGAUCUUCAAUCUUCAAAAUCUCAGGUGCAUGAUUUGGAGAAAAAGGUAGACAUGAUUGAAGUUGAGCGGAAUAUCUUGGAGCAGAGAGUAAAGGAACUUCAAGAUCAGCAAACCAGAUCAACAGAGUUACAGGAGAAAGUU
rnacentral:misc_RNA from 1 species